UACGGAGGGUGCGAGCGUUGUCCGGAAUCACUGGGCGUAAAGGGCGCGUAGGCGGCGCGGUAAGCGUGCGGUGAAAGUCCGGGGCUCAACCCCGGAUCGGCCGUGCGGACUGCCGCGCUCGAGCACUGUAGGGGCGGGUGGAACUCCGGGUGUAGCGGUGGAAUGCGUAGAGAUCCGGAAGAACACCGGUGGCGAAGGCGGCCCGCUGGGCAGUGGCUGACGCUGAGGCGCGACAGCGUGGGGAGCAAACAGG
rnacentral:rRNA from 1 species